UACGUAGGGGGCAAGCGUUGUCCGGAUUUAUUGGGCGUAAAGAGCGUGUAGGCGGCCAGGUAGGUCUCGCGUGAAAACUCGAGGCUUAACCUCGAGCUGUCGGCGGAAACCAUCUGGCUAGAGUCCGGAAGAGGAGAAUGGAAUUCCCGGUGUAGCGGUGAAAUGCGCAGAUAUCGGGAAGAACACCCGUGGCGAAGGCGGUUCUCUGGGACGGUACUGACGCUGAGACGCGAAAGCGUGGGGAGCGAACAGG
rnacentral:rRNA from 1 species